rnacentral:rRNA from 1 species
GCUAAUACCGGAUGUGCCGCAACGUGAAAGGGGAAACCCGCCUGAAGAUGAGCUCGCGUCUGAUUAGCUAGUUGGUGAGGUAAAGGCUCACCAAGGCGACGAUCAGUAGCUGGUCUGAGAGGAUGACCAGCCACACUGGGACUGAGACACGGCCCAGACUCCUACGGGAGGCAGCAGUGGGGAAUUUUCCGCAAUGGGCAAAAGCCUGACGGAGCAAGACCGCGUGAGGGAAGAAGGCUCUUGGGUCGUAAACCUCUUUUAUCAGGGAAGAAAAAAAUGACGGUACCUGAAGAAUCAGCCUCGGCUAACUCCGUGCCAGCAGCCGCGGUAAUACGGAGGAGGCAAGCGUUAUCCGGAAUUAUUGGGCGUAAAGCGUCCGCAGGUGGCUUAUCAAGUCUGCUGUCAAAGAGUGGGGCUUAACCCCAUUAAGGCAGUGGAAACUGAGAAGCUAGAGUGCCGUAGGGGUAGAGGGAAUUCCCGGUGUAGCGGUGAAAUGCGUAGAGAUCGGGAAGAACAUCGGUGGCGAAAGCGCUCUACUGGACGG